rnacentral:rRNA from 1 species
CUGAUGAGCCAUGCCGCGUGUAUGAAGAGGCCUUCUGGUUGUAAAGUACUUUCAGCGGGGAGAAGGCCCCUCCUUAAUAACUUCAGAAUUGAAUUCCCGAAAAAAAAAAACGGGUAAAUUCUUGGCAGCAGCCGCGGUAAUACCGAAGGGGGAAGCGUUAAUCGGAAUUACUGGGCUUUCACUUCAAAAGGGGCGGUCUGUCAAGUCGGAUGGGAAAUCCCCGGGCUCAACCUGGGAACUGCAUUCCAAACUGGCAGGCUAGAGUCUGUAAAGGGGGGUAGAAUUCCAGGGGUAGCGGGGAAAUGGGUAAAGAUUUGGAGGAAAAC